GGAGGUAGAACCUGCGGAAGGCAUCAUUAUUCGAAUACGAUUGGUACUGAUGCUGGCCCUUCACUGGGCAUGUGCUCGUCCAUCUAUUUAUCUUCUCUUGUGCACAUCUUGUAGUCUUGGAUGAACCCUUGCGCAUUCGUGCGGUCUGGGAGUUGCGAAUUAAAACCUUGCUUCUCCUGCUUGUCCAAGGCUAUGUUUUCAUAUACACUAUAAAGUUACAGAAUGUCAAUUAACGACUUGUGCUUGUCACGGUCAUUAAACCUAUACAACUUUCAGCAACGGAUCUCUUGGCUCUCCUAUCGAUGAAGAACGCAGCGAAAUGCGAUAAGUAAUGUGAAUUGCAGAAUUCAGUGAAUCAUCGAAUCUUUGAACGCACCUUGCGCCCUUUGGUAUUCCGAAGGGCAUGCCUGUUUGAGUGNCAUUAAAUUAUCAACCUUGCUCGCUUUUACCGGCUUGAGUUAGGGCUUGGAUGUGAGGUCUUUGCUGGCUUCCUCAGUGGAUGGUCUGCUCCCUUAAAUGCAUUAGGGGGAUCUCUUGUGGACCGUCACUUGGUGUGAUAAUUAUCUAUGCCACUUGACCUUGAAGCAAACCUUAUGGGAACCCGC
rnacentral:rRNA from 1 species